rfam:Triticum aestivum genome assembly, contig: Triticum_aestivum_CS42_TGACv1_scaffold_033509_1BL
UUAUUACUCCCUCCAUCCGGAAAUACUUGUCCUGAAAAUUGUUGUAUCUAGAUUUAUUUUAGUUAUAGAUACAUUCAUUUUAUUCAUUUCUGGGACAAGUAUUUCCGGACGGAGGAAGUACUUU